CCCUUAGAUGUUCUGGGCCGCACGCGCGCUACACUGUUGCAUUCAACGAGUAUACAACCUUGAUCGAAAGAUCUGGGUAAUCUUUGAAAGUGCAACGUGAUGGGGCUAGAUUAUUGCAAUUAUUAAUCUUAAACGAGGAAUUCCUGGUAAACGCAAGUCAUCAGCUUGCAUUGAUUACGUCCCUGCCCUUUGUACACACCGCCCGUCGCUCCUACCGAUUCGAGUGAUCCGGUGAACCUUUUGGACCGAGGCAGCUUGCUGUUUUGGAAAAUCAAGUAAACCACGUCACUUAGAGGAAGGAGAANUCGUANCA
rnacentral:rRNA from 1 species